GCCUCCUUGUGCCUUAAUCUUCUGCCUCUGAAAAGGAGUUUGGGUCUUCAGAGAGAGGAGGAGGAUGCUGUUCAAGGACAGAGCCUGCUUCAGAGCGUGAAUGACCUGUCACAGUCCCUGAAAGGGAAGGUAGGAGCGCAGAUGGGGGGAACGGAGUGUGAAAUUUCCACCCUUAUGUCUCCCUAGCAGCCUGAAGAAAGCAGCUGUUUCCGCUGCGUGAAGAUCCAUUCCCCGGCAGGGCAUUUCCAAAGGAGAGACAUGGCCCCAGGGAAGGUCUGGGAAGGUGCCAGGGGGUUGUGGCCCCGUCUAUCAAGCAGCCUGCCCUCUCUGAGCCGUGGGUCAGCAGCAUGGGGGAGGAAAUCUGAAGGCCAUCCCUUACUACUGGACCACAUAGCACAUCAACGCCCUCUCACAGUCUCUGAAAGGAAUGGUGAUUUUUCUUGCUGGUGUUAAGCAAAUGCGGAUUUCACAGUUAUGCUAUAAAAAUCACUGCAGAGGGGCAGCUUGGGAAGUCGUUCCUGACUGGAUUUGACUGUACCCCUUACAUUUGACCAUGUCCUUCUCGUCUGUUAUGGGAUUUUAGAAUGCAAGUUAACCCAGAACUGCCUUUUUUUUAAUAGGAUAGCUCAUUUUUACAUUUGUGAGGAAGCCCUGUCCUGCAUCAGCAGCUGUUUUGGAUGAAAACCAAAGCUUUGACCGCUUGGUCGUAGUAAAGAAUCCACAAGCGUUUCUCGAGAUGUUCGCCUCAAUGUCUGUGGCAAGUUCCAGCCUGGGUCACUAGAUAUUUUGCUUACCUAAAAAUGACCCUGGCAGCAUUAGCGGGAUACAGUAAACAUCACUUCCUUCCUGGAAGGACUCUACAAAGCUGCUGUGUAUGGCUCCAAAACCAAGGGUGGCUGGGUCUUGCUGGUGGCCGGUGCUGGGUGCAGCCAGUGAGUCAGACUGCAAAGGGCCAUGGGAUGAUAAAGCUUGUACAAAAUCCUGCAAAAGGAGGGUCUUUGUUGUCAGAGAGUUCCAGUCCUCGCUGUUGCAUAUAUGAGACCCUAAGACAGUUUGAUGGCUGCAGUGAUCAUAUGGGAAUCUCCUGAUGAAGAUCUGACAUCCAGUUUUCAUCAGGAACCUGGCUCUCCAUCCCCUGGGUGACUGUCUCCUUUGUUCUCUCAUAUCUGUGGCAGAUAUGACCAACUGGUCAUUGGGCUGCAGACUUACUUUAUGGGCUGGGGAGAAGACUUGAGUUCAAAUCCUAGGUAGAGCUUGAAAGGAAAUUUGGAUUUCUUCAUGAAAAUGAGUGCCCUACUCUCCCACCCACUCUGUGCCCCUCCAUGGCCCCUAACCUCCAGGGAAGGGCAAAGACUGUGCAAUGUCACAGCCUUGAAGAGUUGCGUGAAAGAGGAAUGUUGUUUUCUGACCAACCCUAUUGCUGAAGACCACUGUACUUUUGAGCCUUUGCCUUCCAGUAGAUAACAUGAAGACAUAUUCUAGGGGCUUUGGCUUCAUCUCUGCCAGGCUUGGUCUUGCUCCAGCACAGGCACAGACCAUGCGUCUAAACAACCACAGUUUUUAAUUCAGCCUUUCUAUCCUUCCCUUUGCUUUGCUCGUCUUUGUGUAGACGUAAUCACAGUGGUCAGUCCUUUCUUUCAGCUUCCCCUUUGCUGCCUGGUGAUGUUUACAUGGUGUGUACUGUUCUGCAAACUUCAGAAAAACAGAAAUAAAAAUCAGUGUUGGUUUUCUUUAUACGAGUAA
ensembl:lncRNA